rnacentral:lncRNA from 1 species
GAAAUCAUCAUAAUUUGGGAGAGACAAGAUCUAUUCGUUGAGAGGUGUCAAUUUAUGAUUGUCAGUGGUUCGGAAUACCUUGAUCAUACCAAAAAAACUACGGCCAAUGCUAUUCGCUUCGUGUAAUUACAUAUGUUGUUGCUUUCCAAUAUUAAAAUUUGAGUGCCCAUCUUUAAUAUGAUAGUUAUCAAUGUGAAACUCUAGUUUUGAUUGUAA